GCUAUACAUGCAGUCGAACGCUUCUUUUUCCACCGGAGCUUGCUCCACCGGAAAAAGAGGAGUGGCGAACGGGUGAGUAACACGUGGGUAACCUGCCCAUCAGAAGGGGAUAACACUUGGAAACAGGUGCUAAUACCGUAUAACAAUCAAAACCGCAUGGUUUUGAUUUGAAAGGCGCUUUCGGGUGUCGCUGAUGGAUGGACCCGCGGUGCAUUAGCUAGUUGGUGAGGUAACGGCUCACCAAGGCCACGAUGCAUAGCCGACCUGAGAGGGUGAUCGGCCACAUUGGGACUGAGACACGGCCCAAACUCCUACGGGGAGGCAGCAGUAGGGAAUCUUCGGCAAUGGACGAAAGUCUGACCGAGACAACGCCGCGUUGAGUGAAGAAGGUUUUCGGGAUCGUAAAACUUCUGUUGUUAGAGAAGAACAAGGAUGAGAGUAACUGUUCAUCCCUUGACCGGUAUCUAAACCAGAAAGCCACGGCUAACUACGUGCCAGCAGCCCGCGGGUAAUACCUAAGUGGCAAGCGUUGUCCCGGGAUUAUUGGGCGUAAAGCGAGCGCAGGCGGUUUUCUUAAGUCUGAUGUGAAAGCCCCCGGCUCAACCCGGGAAGGGUCAUUGGAAACUGGGAGACUUGAGUGCAGAAGAAGAGAGUGGAAUUCCAUGUGUAGCGGUGAAAUGCGUAGAUAUAUGGAGGAACACCAGUGGCGAAAGCGGCUCUCUGGUCUGUAACUGACGCUGAAGCUCGAAAGCGUGGGGGAGCAAAACAAGAUUAGAUACCCUGGUAGUCCACGCCGUAAACGAUGAGUGCUAAGUGUUUGGAGGGUUUCCGCCCCUUCAGUGCUGCAGCUACGCAUUAAGCACUCCGCCUGGGGGAGUACGACCGCAAGGUGUGAAACUCAAGGAAUUGACGGGGGCCCGCACAGCGGUGGGAGCAUGUGGUUUAUUUCUGAAGCACGCGAGAACCUUACCACGGUCUUGACAUCCUUUUGACACUCUAGAGAUAGAGCUUCCCCUCGGGCCAAGUGACAGUGGUGCAUGGUGUCGUCAGCUCUGUCUGAGAUGUGGGUAGUCCGCAACGAGCGCACCUAAUGUAGUGCAUCAUCAGUGGCACUCUAGCA
rnacentral:rRNA from 1 species